rfam:Ovis aries breed Texel chromosome 2, whole genome shotgun sequence.
AUCUACGGCCACACCAACCUGAACGCGCCCAAUCUCGUCUGAUCUCAGAAGCUAAGCAGGGCUGGGCCUGGUAAGUAUUUGAAUGGGAGACUAUUCUGGUUUAUUAUUAUC